rnacentral:rRNA from 1 species
CCUACGGGUGGCAGCAGUGAGGAAUAUUGGUCAAUGGUCGGGAGACUGAACCAGCCAAGCCGCGUGAGGGAGGAAGGUACAGAGUAUCGUAAACCUCUUUUGUCAGGGAACAAAGACUGGGACGCGUCCCCGGAUGAGGGUACCUGAAGAAAAAGCAUCGGCUAACUCCGUGCCAACAGCCGCGGGAAUACGGAGGAUGCGAGCGUUAUCCGGAUUUAUGGGGUUUAAAGGGUGCGCAGGCGGUCUGUUAAGUCAGCGGUCAAAGCUCGGGGCUCAAACCCGGCCCGCCGUUGAAACUGGCAGUCGCGAGUUGGAGAGAAGUAUGCGGAAUGCGCGGUGUAGCGGUGAAAUGCAUAGAUAGCGCGCAGAACUCCGAUUGCGAAGGCAGCAUGCCGGCUCCACACUGACGCUGAGGCACGAAAGCGUGGGUAUCGAACAGGAUUAGAUACCCCGGUAGUC